rnacentral:ncRNA from 1 species
UUCACAGGUUAACCCCGUGGCCUGAGUGAGGAAGGCAAUGUCCUUGCUAGUCACUAUUUGUGGCGACAUCUCCAAUUUGCGUGAAACCCGUCAUACAGCUUCAAGUACCACUUCAAUUGAGAAAUCUUUUGAAGGAACAGAGGUAACUCCUCUUCCCAAAGGUAACAAGCUUGAAGACACGGUGGCAAUGCGCAGCCAAGCUCCUAAGUAUUUUAAAUAUAAGGAGAAGGUUCAGAGAGCAGACGGAGAUGGGCGGUAAUUUAACCGCUUAAGGUGUGCUCCAGCCUCUUUUGAAAGAUUGAG